rnacentral:rRNA from 1 species
AGAGGGAGGUAGAAUUCCACGUGUAGCGGUGAAAUGCGUAGAGAUCUGGAGGAAUACCGGUGGCGAAGGCAGCCUCCUGGGAUAACACUGACGUUCAUGCCCGAAAGCGUGGGUAGCAAACAGGAUUAGAUACCCUGGUAGUCCACGCCCUAAACGAUGUCGAUUAGCUGUUGGGCAGCAUGACUGCUUAGUAGCGAAGCUAACGCGUGAAAUCGACCGCCUGGGGAGUACGGUCGCAAGAUUAAAACUCAAAGGAAUUGACGGGGACCCGCACAAGCGGUGGAUGAUGUGGAUUAAUUCGAUGCAACGCGAAGAACCUUACCUGGUCUUGACAUGUGCGGAACCCUCCAGAGACGGAGGGGUGCCUUCGGGAGCCGUAACACAGGUGCUGCAUGGCUGUCGUCAGCUCGUGUCGUGAGAUGUUGGGUUAAGUCCCGCAACGAGCGCAACCCUUGUCAUUAGUUGCCAUCAUUAAGUUGGGCACUCUAAUGAGACUGCCGGUGACAAGCCGGAGGAAGGUGGGGAUGACGUCAAGUCCUCAUGGCCCUUAUGACCAGGGCUUCACACGUCAUACAAUGGUCGGUACAGAGGGUAGCCAAGCCGCGAGGUGGAGCCAAU